GCUUGCUGCCGAAAGUUUCAUGUUACCAUAGCUAAGGUUCUUGAUUUUUCUAAGCUCAAUUAUCAAGAAAGAAGAAAUAGUGCAAGUGAUCGGGGAAAAGAGAAAGUUAUCGACUAAAUUACAAAAAUAGUCGUUUUGCAUCCGAGUGAUUUGAACUUGAUCGAAUUGGGGAUCGUCGGAGCUCGUAUCACACUAUCAUAAUCAUCUCGGUAUUAUGUGCUUUUCAAAAUGUUUAAA